UACGGAGGAUCCGAGCGUUAUCCGGAAUUAUUGGGUUUAAAGGGUGCGUAGGCGGCCAUUUAAGUCAGCGGUGAAAUUUUGCAGCUUAACUGUAACAGUGCCGUUGAUACUGUUUGGCUAGGAUUUGGUUGUGGUGUGCGGAAUGUGUGGUGUAGCGGUGAAAUGCUUAGAGAUCACACAGAAUAUCGAUUGCGAAGGCAGCUCACAAAGCCAAGAUUGACGCUGAGGCACGAAAGUGUGGGGAUCAAACAGGAUUA
rnacentral:rRNA from 1 species